rnacentral:rRNA from 1 species
UGAAUACGAGAUGCUACGGCGUCGAAGCAGUGUAUGUCAGACUUCCAAGAAAAGCUCGCAAUGUCAUAAAUAAAGAAUGCCUGUACCAUAACCGACACAGGUGGGUAGGUAGAGUAUACUAAGGGGCGCGAGAUAACUCUCUCUAAGGAACUCGGCAAAAUAACUCCGUAACUUCGGGAGAAGGAGUGCCUUCUUUAAGAAGGAUGCAAUAACAAGAUCCAAGCAACUGUUUAUCAAAAACACAGGUCUCCGCUAAGUCGUAAGACGAUGUAUGGGGGCUGACGCCUGCCCAGUGCCAGAAGGUUAAAGAAGUUGGUUAGCUUUUGCGAAGCUGAUGACUGAAGCCCUGGUGAACGGCGGCCGUAACUAUAACGGUCCUAAGGUAGCGAAAUUCCUUGUCGGGUAAGUUCCGACCCGCACGAAAGGCGUAAUGAUUUGGAUACUGUCUCGGAGAGGGACUCGGUGAAAUAGACUUGUCUGUGAAGAUGCGGACUACCUGCACCAUGACAGAAAGACCCUAUGAAGCUUUACUGUAACUUGAAAUUGAAAUUGGACUUUAUUUGCGCAGUAUAGGUGGAAGGCGUUGAAAGUAAUCUUGCGGGAUUAGUGGAGCCAUCAGUGAGAUACCACUCCUAUAAUGUUAGAUUUCUAACUUUGGAUCAUGAUCUGGUCAAAGAACAGUUUCAGGCGGGCAGUUUGACUGGGGCGGUCGCCUCCCAAAUGGUAACGGAGGCGUACAAAGGUUUCCUCUGAACGGGUAGAAAUCGUAUCUAGAGUGUAAAGGCAUAAGGAAGCUUGACUGUGAGACCUACAAGUCGAGCAGGGACGAAAGUCGGUCUUAGUGAUCUGACGGUGCUGAGUGGAAAGGCCGUCACUCAACGGAUAAAAGUUACUCUAGGAUAACAGGCUGAUCUCCCCCAAGAGUUCACAUCGACGGGGAGGUUUGGCACCUCGAUGUCGGCUCAUCGCAUCCUGGGGCGGUAGUACGUCCCAAGGGUUGGGCUGUUCGCCCAUGAAAGCGGUACGCGAGCUGGGUUCAGAACGUCGUGAGACAGUUCGGUCCAUAUCCGGUGUAGGCGUUAGAAUAUUGAGAGGAGCCUUCUUUAGUACGAGAGGACCGAGAAGGACAUACCUCUGGUGUACCAGUUAUCGUGCCAACGGUAAACGCUGGGUAGCUAUGUAUGGAGAGGAUAACCGCUGAAAGCAUCUAAGUGGGAAGCCCACCUCAAGAUGAGUAUUCUCA